rnacentral:tRNA from 1 species
GCGGGUGUGGCGGAACUGGCAGACGCACCAGAUUUAGGUUCUGGCGCCGAAAGGCGUGGGGGUUCAAGUCCCUCCACCCGCA